AAACAAGAUAUAAGCAGGGAGAAGCAGGAAAACAUUCUCUACUCUGCUGAGACCCUUAGGAGGGACCCAACUAUGCAUCCUUGCAGACCUCACAGAACACUACAAAUCACAAGGAACCUAAAUGGACCAAGUCUAAUGAUCUAUCUACCCCUAUAUAGGAGGAGAAUGCAGUUGGAAGAAAGAUAAAUAUAAACUCUAAGAAACGCUAUACAGAGAAUGAAAGAUGGAGGAAACCCAGCCUGCAAGAAGAUCUCUUCACACCACCACUGAAUCCUUUGUAGGAUGAGACCUUGAACUUAAAUGAAAAUGAUGGAACCUAUUGAAACAAAUAAAUGUCAUGCAUAAAGAUCCCAAUAUGCUUAAAUGUAUUCUGAAUUGAAACCAGAGAUUUCCAUUUAGAAAACAUCUUCUCAGCCCAAAUUACUCUGAAGAGGUAACUCCCUUGUGAGCUCAGGGCUAUUCAUCACAUUCAUGACCUGGGGAGAUAGUAUGCAGGUUCCCAAGUUUCUGGCAGGUGGAAAUGGGGAGAUUGUCAUUUGCAGAACAUCCUGUCCCCAGUGGUGCUGAGUCACUUAAACUCCCAACAUCUGUGCAGCUUCCCCUACGGCCGCUUUCUCACAGUCAGAAUUCAAGAUGCUGUGCAGUGCUGAGACAGGUGAUAAGGAGAGCCUCCUGAGUCAGGAAACCACAAAUAAUUGCUGAAGCCUCAGGAAAUACAGUAGUUCCCAACAAAAUCUUGUCUACUUUGAGCAGAAGUGAGCCCUUCACUCAAAAUUACUUGAAGAGGGCAAGGUGUUUAUGGAAAUAUAAAGGGGUCUGGAUUUUGUCUCUCUUUUUGUCUCUUUUAUUGAAAGGGAUUUUUUUUCCUCCUGAUUGUGGUUUCACCUCCCACUACUCCUCUCCACCUCCCUUUCCAUCUGGA